GUGGGUAGUUUGACUGGGGCGGUCUCCUCCUAAAGAGUAACGGAGGAGCACGAAGGUUAGCUAAUCCUGGUCGGACAUCAGGAGGUUAGUGCAAAGGCAUAAGCUAGCUUGACUGCGAGAGUGACGGCUCGAGCAGGUGCGAAAGCAGGUCUUAGUGAUCCGGUGGUUCUGAAUGGAAGGGCCAUCGCUCAACGGAUAAAAGGUACUCCGGGGAUAACAGGCUGAUACCGCCCAAGAGUUCAUAUCGACGGCGGUGUUUGGCACCUCGAUGUCGGCUCAUCACAUCCUGGGGCUGAAGUAGGUCCCAAGGGUAUGGCUGUUCGCCAUUUAAAGUGGUACGCGAGCUGGGUUUAGAACGUCGUGAGACAGUUCGGUCCCUAUCUGCCGUGGGCGCUGGAGAAUUGAGGGGGGCUGCUCCUAGUACGAGAGGACCGGAGUGGACGCAUCACUGGUGUUCGGGUUGUCAUGCCAAUGGCAUUGCCCGGUAGCUAAAUGCGGAAGAGAUAAGUGCUGAAAGCAUCUAAGCACGAAACUUGCCCCGAGAUGAGUUCUCCCUG
rnacentral:rRNA from 1 species